CAGUUUCAUGAUUAACCUCCACUAAUUUCAGGUGAAAAUGCCAACCAAAGUAACAACAAUUAAAGCAUAACAAUCAUGUUUAUACAUAAGCUUUAAAGACAACUAUAAUCAAAAAUCAAGUUUCAAGUCCUGAUUCAUCUAAUCUCACCUUUUCUCAUGUCAUACCUGCUAUACAAUGUAAUUGUCUUUUGAUGGCUUUGAAGAAGAAUGCUUGAUGGCACAAUGACCAUCAUGACAAGAAGUCUGACAACAGCAGGCUUUCAGAUGAGGUAAUUUGUCUCGCUGCUGUGAUGAAAUACAACAGAUCCAACUGCUGAAUUGCUCACCAGCAGAUAAAAGUAGGGGCAGGGAGGAGAGAAAGAUGGGUUGAGUAAUUUUGUUGUAUUAAGUCACAUUAAAAUUAUAAAAAGAAAACAAAUGCAGGGUCAUGUGACAAAUAAGAAGGAAACAUAGAAAAAUCAGGAAAUAGAUGAACAUAAAGAACAUGCUAAGAAAACCCAGCAUUAUUUUUUUGCAUUUUAAAUUUAUCUUUUAUCUAAGGAACAGAUACUCCUUAAAACAAAAUUACAUGCAACUCAGACACUUUUUGUUAAUUAGGAUUCUGAAAAGAAAGGGAGAAAAAUCACUAAUCAGCCUAUAGUAGGCACCCAAAAAAGCCUGCAGGUUGCAUUUUGUAAGAGUUUGGUUCCAAAUGAAAAACUAUCAAUAGGUCUCUUGAACCAAGCUCAAAUCAAAAUAAAGCUGGUCAAGAAGGGUGAUAAAGUAUCUUCUUCCUCCUCAUAACUGGUAUGUGUUAGAAUUUACAUUACUUGUUCUUUCAUUGUUUCGACUGAAAUUUUAGUGAAUUAAGUAUGUUAAAUUGAAUCCUCCC
rnacentral:lncRNA from 1 species